AAUGGGGUCUCACUCUGUCGUCCAGGCUGCAGUGGAGUGAUGUGAUCACAGCUCACUACAGCCUCAAAUUCCUGGGCUCAAGCAAUCCUCCUGUCUCAACCUCCUGAAUAGCUGAGACUACAGGUGUUCACAGCCAUGCCCAGCUAAUUUUUAUUUUUUGUAGAGACGGGUCUCACUACGUUGCCCAGAUUGGUCCUGAACUCCUGGGCUCAAGCAAUCCUCCCGCCUUGGCCUUCCAAAGUGCUGGGAUUAUAGGCAUGAGCUACCACACCCAGCCUGCUAUGGUUUGGAUAAGGUUUGCCCCAUUGAAACUCAUGCUCGAACAAUCGAUUGGCUAACGAGGUCGAUGACGCCAGGCACAAGAUGCUGGGCCUACCGCGGUAGCGUGAGGGAAGCCGUGCGUUCUGUUCCAAGGCAUCUGUGAGCCCAUGGAGUAUACACCAUGAGCAAAGCUCACCCUCCUGAGUUGAAAAAAUUUACGGACAAGAAGUUUUCAUUGAAAUUAAAUGGUGGCAGACAUGUCCAAGGAAUAUUGCGGGGAUUUGAUCCCUUUAUGAACCUUGUGAUAGAUGAAUGUGUGGAGAUGGCGACUAGUGGACAACAGAAAAAUAUUGGAAUGGUGGAAAUACGAGGAAAUAGUAUCAUCAUGUUAGAAGCCUUGGAAUGAGUAUAAAUAAUGGCUGUUCAGCAGAGAAACCCAUGUCCUCUCUCCAUAGGGCCUGUUUUACUAUGAUGUAAAAAUUAGGUCAUGUACAUUUUCAUAUUAGACUUUUUGUUAAAUAAACUUUUGUAAUAGUCAAAAAUGUUUUUUCAGAUGUUCUGAAUAUACAAUAUUAGCUCUCAUUCCAAUUUUUUCUAACAUGAAUUUUCCUGGUUGACAUUGAUUUCAAAGGGUUUUAUGUAUUAAAGUGACAGAAUCUUAUUAAAUGUGAAA
rnacentral:lncRNA from 1 species